UCAGGCCUAACACAUGCAAGUCGAACGGCAGCAUAGGUGCUUGCACCUGAUGGCGAGUGGCGAACGGGUGAGUAAUACAUCGGAACGUGCCCAGUCGUGGGGGAUAACGUAGCGAAAGUUACGCUAAUACCGCAUACGAUCUAAGGAUGAAAGCGGGGGACCGUAAGGCCUCGCGCGAUUGGAGCGGCCGAUGUCAGAUUAGGUAGUUGGUGGGGUAAAGGCUCACCAAGCCAACGAUCUGUAGCUGGUCUGAGAGGACGACCAGCCACACUGGGACUGAGACACGGCCCAGACUCCUACGGGAGGCAGCAGUGGGGAAUUUUGGACAAUGGGCGCAAGCCUGAUC
rnacentral:rRNA from 1 species